AUUGAAUACUUGUUAUCAAAUUCAAAUCAAAAGUUUUCAAAUCAUCAAAGGAAAAUUAGUAUAAAUAAGCAUAGAGGCGUCCAUGGAUUAUCACAUUUCUCAGAAAAUAUUUAAAGUAUCAAACAAGAAAAGAAGAGUGAGAAGAAUAAAGAGAGAAAGAGGGAGAGAGAGAGAUCAUGUCCACUACUCAAGCAUAGGUCAUGAUUGGUGGAGAAGAUCUUGAGAAUUACAUGCACCAACAUAGGUGCUCAGCCUUGAGAUGAUUUCGAAUCGCUUCAAUGUAGCGGAUUUUGGUGGUACUAGUGGACCUAACACUUCUUUUGGCGGUACAAAACAUACAGAUGUUGUGGGAGACAAGUACCUUCGAGAAACCGGCCAAAACCCGGUGGAUAAAAUCGAGUUCCAGCCUCCUCAGAGACUUUAGCAACAACGAUUUCAACACUCUCUUACAGGAACUUCCUCCAGGCAGAAGAUACUGUCUUGCGAAGUUCCGGGUUCCUUCUUCGUCCGUGAGUCAUGAUCAAGAUACGCUUUCUUGACCACAUGGUUGAACCAGUGCAAUGCAUGUUGCUGUUCCACAUGGGAGAGUCGCGGUUUUUGAUCCCUUUGGGGAUUUUGGAGGUGAAAUGGAACGCGUAAUUGAUGACUCCUAUGUGGAAACUCUUAUGUCGAAGAAGGAACCGCGAUUUUGCUAAUCCAAGUGCUUAAAUCGUUGAGGCUGAAGUCGUUGAAGAGGACUUGGAACUCGAUCUUAUCCACCGCGUUUUAUCCGGUUUCUCUGUGGGUUGUGAAAUAUUUUAUGUUGCCUGAAAAUAUGGUUUAAUUGAUGAACAGAGGUAAGGGACGGAUGAACAACAUGAGCCUAAUGUUACUUCCAAGUUUCCAUCUCAAUAAAUUAGUUUUCGUUGCGAUGGUCCGAGACGAGGGGGUACUUGCGCAUAUAUAUAUGCACACAUUGAAAUUUUAUUUGUUUUCCAAAAUUUAAAUCAGUAUUUUUAUAUAAUUUGAUAUGAAUUUCUUCUCCAAAUGCGAGAUUAAAACUACAUGUUACUAAGAUUUUUUCAAUGUUAUCCAAUGCCACUUAUAAUUUUUGUAUUCGAAGAACUCAGUUAAAAGUAAGAGAUAUUAAGAUCA